rnacentral:rRNA from 1 species
GUGGGGAAUCUUGCGCAAUGGGCGAAAGCCUGACGCAGCCAUGCCGCGUGAAUGAUGAAGGUCUUAGGAUUGUAAAAUUCUUUCACCGGGGACGAUAAUGACGGUACCCGGAGAAGAAGCCCCGGCUAACUUCGUGCCAGCAGCCGCGGUAAUACGAAGGGGGCUAGCGUUGCUCGGAAUUACUGGGCGUAAAGGGCGCGUAGGCGGACAGUUUAGUCAGAGGUGAAAGCCCAGGGCUCAACCUUGGAGUUGCCUUUGAUACUGGCUGUCUUGAGUACGGGAGAGGUGAGUGGAACUCCGAGUGUAGAGGUGAAAUUCGUAGAUAUUCGGAAGAACACCAGUGGCGAAGGCGACUCACUGGCCCGUUACUGACGCUGAGGCGCGAAAGCGUGGGGAGCAAACAGGAUUAGAAACCCCUGUAGUCC